AGUGAUCUGAAGAGUCCUUUCGGAAUUUCCCCAGAGCGUAGUCCUAAGCACCGCACCAUAAUGGUCCCGCUAGCAGCCAGCCUUAUAUCACGAUGAGUGGGACACGUGGCGGGUGCUGGUGGACUUAGGGAUAUCCGCUGCCAUAACUGCACCAGGCCCCGUCGCUUAUUUAAGUCCCCUCCUUCCCUCCAGGGGCUUCACUUCGCCUGAGAGUUUAGUCACUCCAUCGGUGCC
rnacentral:lncRNA from 1 species